rnacentral:lncRNA from 1 species
CGAGGGUCAUUGGCAAACGGUUUGAAACUUGAUGAUUGGCCCGCCCCUUUAUCAUUGUCCACUUAAAUACCAAGCUUUUGUCUAUGUUUAUGACGUGUGCCUAACCCACACAUCACAUGCUAGUGAGGGGUGUGCAUUCGAUUUUUCGGUUCGGUUUUGUGUUAUUCGGUUUGGGUUUUUCGGUUUUCGGUUUGAAAAAGUAUAACCCAAUCCGAACCAAAAAAAAAUUGGUUCGGUUCGGUUUUUCUCUUUUCGGUUUGGUUUUUUUCGGUUUGGCUAUUCGGUUAUAACUUAUUUCAUAACUAAUUAAUAACAUAAUCAAAGUUAUAUUUGCAUGCUUAAAAAAUAAAAAUUUCAUAUAAGGAAAAGUACUAAUUCUAGUUCUGCUAAUUUUUUUGUCAUGAAAGUGCAAGUAAUAUGUGAUAUUGAUAUUUAUAGUUAUAAUGUAAAACCUAAUGCCUAAAAUUUAGUGAAAUAGGAUGGCAGUAAUUUGAUAUGGGCCUAAAUAUUACAACAAUACUGAAUUAUUAGUACCCUACGGCCUACAUAGUAAACCUAAAUAUUAUAUGUGUAAUUAUUAAUCUAUUUAUAUAUAUAUAUAUAAUUCGGUUUUUUUCGGUUUUUCGGUUUUCAUUUUUCUAAAUCCGAAACCAAACCAAAAAACCAAACAAAGUAAUUUAUAAAUCCAAAACCAAACCACAAAUCCAAAAAACCAAUCCAAAUUAUAAUUCGGUUUGAUUUGGUUUGGUUUUUCGGUUUAAUCCAAAUAGUGCACACCCCUACAUGCUACGCUCUUACCACUCGACCAAAAGCCUUGGGGACUGGGGUUGAGACAAAAUGUUGAACUGCACUGCAAUAUAAGCCUCAAAAGGUAGUUCUUUUGUUCUACAGAAGAUGUUUUCCUUUAGUC